GAUGAACGCUGGCGGCGUGCCUAAUACAUGCAAGUCGAGCGAACAGAUGAGGAGCUUGCUCCUCUGACGUUAGCGGCGGACGGGUGAGUAACACGUGGAUAACCUACCUAUAAGACUGGGAUAACUUCGGGAAACCGGAGCUAAUACCGGAUAAUAUAUUGAACCGCAUGGUUCAAUAGUGAAAGACGGUUUUGCUGUCACUUAUAGAUGGAUCCGCGCCGCAUUAGCUAGUUGGUAAGGUAACGGCUUACCAAGGCAACGAUGCGUAGCCGACCUGAGAGGUUGGACGCCCACCCAGGAACUAGGACACGGUCCAGACUCCUAAGGGAGCCAGCAGUAGGGAAUCUUCCGCAAUGGGCGAAAGCCUGACGGAGCAACGCCGCGUGAGUGAUGAAGGGCUUCGGAUCGUAAAUCUCUGUUAUUAGGGAAGAACAAAUGUGUAAGUAACUAUGCACGUCUUGACGGUACCGAAUCAGAAAGCCACGGCGAACUACGU
rnacentral:rRNA from 1 species